rnacentral:rRNA from 1 species
UACGGAGGGUGCAAGCGUUAUCCGGAUUUACUGGGUUUAAAGGGUGUGUAGGCGGACUUUUAAGUCAGCGGUGAAAUCUCCGGGCUCAACCCGGAAACUGCCAUUGAUACUAUUAGUCUUGAAUAUUGUUGAGGUGGGCGGAACGGGUCAUGUAGCGGUGAAAUGCAUAGAUAUGACCCGGAACACCCAUGGCGAAGGCAGCUCGCUGGCCUGCAACUGACGCUGAGGCGCGAAAGCGUGGGGAGCAAACAGG